rnacentral:rRNA from 1 species
AGCGAACGCUGGCGGCAGGCUUAACACAUGCAAGUCGAGCGGGCACUUCGGUGUCAGCGGCAGACGGGUGAGUAACACGUGGGAACGUACCCUUCGGUUCGGAAUAACGCUGGGAAACUAGCGCUAAUACCGGAUACGCCCUUUUGGGGAAAGGUUUACUGCCGAAGGAUCGGCCCGCGUCUGAUUAGCUAGUUGGUGGGGUAAUGGCCUACCAAGGCGACGAUCAGUAGCUGGUCUGAGAGGAUGAUCAGCCACACUGGGACUGAGACACGGCCCAGACUCCUACGGGAGGCAGCAGUGGGGAAUAUUGGACAAUGGGCGCAAGCCUGAUCCAGCCAUACCGCGUGAGUGAUGAAGGCCUUAGGGUUGUAAAGCUCUUUUGUCCGGGACGAUAAUGACGGUACCGGAAGAAUAAGCCCCGGCUAACUUCGUG